CACUAAUGAAGCUACUACUUAGCGCUAGCCUUUUAAGCUAGAGCAGGGGGACCAACAACUCCCUACCCCCCAUAGUGA
rnacentral:tRNA from 1 species